rnacentral:lncRNA from 1 species
GAAAGUCGAAUUAAAUUGUCAUGAAUGGGCUAUCAAGUAAUCAACGCUCAAUUUAAUACUUGACUGAUGAUAUAAAGUAUGGGCUUAAAGGUGCAAUACAAAAAAUAGUGAGUACAUAUAAUCUGCAACUGACUUACAUCGACUACAUGUUUCUCAUUUCCAAUGUGUUAUAACUUUAUGAUCAGUAAUGAUCAUAUGUGGCUCUUACACAGUCCCUAAUGUAUAAGUAUGAGUCAGUAAUGAUCAUAUGUGGCUCUUCCAUGUACGGUCCCUAACCCGCUGCAGACUUCAUUCUUGUCGGGGUGCUGAUCAUUUGUAGUCUUACUCCCUUCCCUUACUCGUGUGUUGUACCUUGCGAAAUUUGUUGAACUGCGAUCUGUCAUAUAGCCUGUUGAGACUGGCAUGAACUCACAUAGAAGGAAGCAUAGUAGAACAUCUGAACACUCUGCAACUUAUUUCCAACUCCAGCUUAUCUUUUUUUUUUCCCCUCAAAAGUGUUUCUCUAUUGCAUAGUCCUGCAAAAAAACAAAAUAUAUUUACCCACAAACCUCUUUUGAUGCCUCAUAGGAUGAAGACUAACUUUAGAAAGAGGGUCAAGGUCAGAACAUAUAUAUGUUUAUAAGAAUGGAACUCGGAGGCCUCAAUUCAAGUAGAGGUAGAAGCCUUCUUAUUAAAAGGUGAUACAGAAAGACAAAAAAGUAAGCAAUAUAUUACACUAAUUUUUAUCGAUUUAUAACAAAUAACAAAAACUUCAGUAAAAUCAAAAUGUAAACAAUGGAUUACACAUAGCGUAAUUUCUUUCCAUCUCCAGGUUAUAUGUUUUUUUCCUCGAAAGUGUCUCUCUAUUGCAUAGUCCUGGGAAAAACAAAAUAUAUUUACUUACAAAUUAACAUUAGCAAGUUGAAGCAAAUAAAAUCAAAACUUUUUUUGAUGUUUCGUAGAAUGAUGACUAACUGCACUUAAAAAAGAGGGUCAGGUCAGCCCGUUGAGCUAGCUUAAAAAAAGAUAUACGUUCGUAAGAAUGGAACCUGGAGGUCUCAUUGACUCAUCGUAGAGGUAGAAACCUUCUUAUUUAAAAGGUGAUAUAUUCAUUACACAAAGACUAAAAAUAAGUAAUGGAUUACACUGAUUCUUACAAAAAACAAAAACUUAAAUAAAAUCCAAAUGUAACAUUAAUAUCAAAAGAAAAUAAUUCAAUUUUAAUCCAUCUUCCAUCUUAAAAUAUGUAGAAAUCAUGUUGUUAUGAAAUAUUGUUAUUGGCCAAUUAAGGUUAUCUACUAACACUUACCUAGAGUUGAAACUAAAAGCCAACACGAAUUGAACCCAUCAUCAAACUAAAAGCAAUCACCCAAACUGUACUUGUAAAUCUAUGGAACCCUUUGCUUUCACCUCUAUAAUCAAGACAAAAUAUCAAAAGUUUCAUAAAACUUAAUUAAACUCCUCACCAUCAUCAAGCAUAAGAAUCAAGAGUAUAUAAAUCCCAACACAAAAUGAUAAAUUUAUAGAGCCAAAAAAAAAAUACAACCAAACAAAAGAUAAAUACGCAAGUCAGAUAUACUACCUUAGCUUCUGGGGCUAAAGAGAUAUGGAACAUCAAUUUUUCUCUUCCUCGUUGAGUGUUGAUGCAAGUCAAUUGAUGCAAAAUUAAGGAAAUAAUCCAAUGAAAAAAACAAUAACAACAUCAGACAUCAGAUUAAUUUAUCGAUGGAUCGAUUUUAAUUCAACAAAAUACACUAUAAUUAGAUAUAUCGAUUGAUAAUCGAAUAGCAAAAGAUGUUAUUUAAAAAAAAAAAAAUAUUAAACGUGGCUGGCGUAGUUGAAGCUCUGGUGUUGACGCACAAAGUAGAAGCUGUGAGAAGGAGAUAAAAGAAAGAAGAAAAUUGAAGCGCAGAGAAAAGAGACAGAACAGAACAGGAAAGUGUGCGAGGGACUGGGACACGAAUGACUGCCUUGACUUUUG